UUGAACGCUGGCGGCAUGCCUUACACAUGCAAGUCGAACGGCAGCACGGAGCUUGCUCUGGUGGCGAGUGGCGAACGGGUGAGUAAUAUAUCGGAACGUACCCUGGAGUGGGGGAUAACGUAGCGAAAGUUACGCUAAUACCGCAUACGAUCUACGGAUGAAAGUGGGGGAUCGCAAGACCUCAUGCUCGUGGAGCGGCCGAUAUCUGAUUAGCUAGUUGGUAGGGUAAAAGCCUACCAAGGCAUCGAUCAGUAGCUGGUCUGAGAGGACGACCAGCCACACUGGAACUGAGACACGGUCCAGACUCCUACGGGAGGCAGCAGUGGGGAAUUUUGGACAAUGGGCGCAAGCCUGAUCCAGCAAUGCCGCGUGAGUGAAGAAGGCCUUCGGGUUGUAAAGCUCUUUUGUCAGGGAAGAAACGGUGAGGGCUAAUAUCCUUUGCUAAUGACGGUACCUGAAGAAUAAGCACCGGCUAACUACGUGCCAGCAGCCGCGGUAAU
rnacentral:rRNA from 1 species